AUUGAACGCUGGCGGUAUGCUUAACACAUGCAAGUCGAACGGUAACAGGCAAAGCUUGCUUUGUGCUGACGAGUGGCGGACGGGUGAGUAACGCGUGGGAAUCUGCCUUAUAGUGGGGGAUAGCCCGGAGAAAUCCGGAUUAAUACCGCAUAAGCCCUAUGGGGGAAAGCUGGGGAUCUUCGGACCUGGCGCUAUUAGAUGAGCCCGCGUUAGAUUAGCUAGUUGGUGGGGUAAAGGCCUACCAAGGCGACGAUCUAUAGCUGGUCUGAGAGGACGAUCAGCCACACUGGGACUGAGACACGGCCCAGACUCCUACGGGAGGCAGCAGUGGGGAAUAUUGCACAAUGGGCGCAAGCCUGAUGCAGCAAUACCGCGUGUGUGAAGAAGGCCUGCGGGUUGUAAAGC
rnacentral:rRNA from 1 species